ACACAGUUCCUGAUCUUAGCUGCCCAGUUAGAGUAUUCCCAUAAUAUGGCACACAUUCUUGAGGACACGUUCCAUCAGGAAGCAGUUAGGUCGAUGCUAAGCCCUGUCUUAACCUUCUGUAUCUGUUCUUUCUUUUGUCCCCUAUCUUGUCUCUCAUGGACACAGGGAGAACAUGGCAAUGACACCCUGGGGUCAUCUGGUACCCUUCCUCAAGAAAUAUUAAUAACUUGAUAAACAAGACCAAUAAAGAUGAUUAAUGAAAUUCUGAGCCCCACACUUAAAAAAAUCAAGCACUCUCAGCACCUCAAAACUUACUGUUAAGCACAGAUAUGCAAUCAUCCAAAUGCAUGCUAUUAAAAAAUUGCUAGCUACUAAAAGCCAGAAUCGUGAGGAAGAGCCCAACGUGGUAACUGGUAGUUAGCCCGCCCAGGUCCGCUGAUCCCGUCACCCGCCCCGUGGAAGCCAAGUACAGAGGCAGGCAAUCUCUGCCCCCACAUCCUGGUCAUGGGAUCCUAUGUGCACAGUCUCAACCUGUCAGUACCUUCCCUGAAGCAUACCAUGGAGAUCUGAUCCAAGUGGGUCAUGCCCUUUGUCACCAGCAGCCCACUGGGCAGCAAAACUUCCAGAUAAACCCAUAGACCAAAGGGAGAAAUAAAGCCUAAAAAAGAAACGGAAGGUAUAUUUUAAUAAAUCGCAAAAAAAACCCUUAAAUAAAUAAAGGAUUUUGGAAUCCUUGAA